GAGAAAUUAUGCGCAUGCUGAGAGGGCUGGCAGCACAGUCUGUGGGGCCAGAAUCUGUGGAUGUUCAAGAUCUCAUUGAUCAGCCUUUCGAGACUCUUGAGCAGCUGAAGGCCUUCUGUGAACGGCUCGACACUGAUCUUCUGCUCAGAAAGCAGCUGGUGAAAGCUCUUACUGCUCUUGGUGGGCAGAAUUUGGCAGACACGGUGAGGACAAUGCUGAGGAAAAUUGCCACAAACAAAGUCCUGGAGCAGCUUGGCCUCCGUGGAAAGUCAGGAAAAGUGGCGUUUGAGGACUUGCCCCUUUACAGAAUAAUAAAUAAGGCAUGCAGGGGUGUUUACAAGCAGACGACCACAGCUGAAGUGGAUUGUGAGCUUGGAGAGGUCCUGAAACUGGCCACUUUUCGAAAGGGAGGUUCAAAAUUUGAGGAGAAGAGGAGGAAUUAAGAGGGAGGACAAAAAAGGAAAAAGAAACAAGCAAAAGAACAGAGUGAGAUGAGAGGAUUUGGGUUUCCCUGCUUGGGCUGCUGCCCCCGCGACCCGACCUCGGAUAAGCGGAAGAAGAUGGAUGGAUGGAUUUACUUCCAGGAAGAGAACCAAGAAGGGGCAGGAUACACUGACGCGCACGACCAAGACCACUGCAUUCCAUUCCAUUUAUAAAUGAUAAAUGGGUUAUAUGUCAAAGCGCUUUGAGUACCUUGAAGGUAGAAAAGCGCUAUACAAGUUUAUACUUGUAUAGCGCUUUUCUACCUUCAAGGUACUCAAAGCGCAAUUGACAGUAUUUCCACAAUCACCCAUUCACACACUGAUGGCGGGAGCUGCCAUGCAAGGGGCUACCAGCCCCCAUCAGGAGCAAGGGUGAAGUGUCUUGCCCAAGGACACAACGGACGUGCCUAGGAUGGAAGAAGGUGGGGAUUGAACCCCAGUAACCAGCAACCCUCCGAUUGCUGGCACGGCCACUCUACCAACUUCGCCACGCCGUCCCCAUUUUUGUAUUAUAUCACUAAU